rnacentral:rRNA from 1 species
UAGGGAAUCUUCGGCAAUGGGGGCAACCCUGACCGAGCAACGCCGCGUGAGUGAAGAAGGUUUUCGGAUCGUAAAGCUCUGUUGUAAGUCAAGAACGAGUGUGAGAGUGGAAAGUUCACACUGUGACGGUAGCUUACCAGAAAGGGACGGCUAACUACGUGCCAGCAGCCGCGGUAAUACGUAGGUCCCGAGCGUUGUCCGGAUUUAUUGGGCGUAAAGCGAGCGCAGGCGGUUUGAUAAGUCUGAAGUUAAAGGCUGUGGCUCAACCAUAGUUCGCUUUGGAAACUGUCAAACUUGAGUGCAGAAGGGGAGAGUGGAAUUCCAUGUGUAGCGGUGAAAUGCGUAGAUAUAUGGAGGAACACCGGUGGCGAAAGCGGCUCUCUGGUCUGUAACUGACGCUGAGGCUCGAAAGCGUGGGGAGCGAACAGGAUUAGAUACCCUGGUAGUCCACGCCGUAACGAUGAGUGCUAGGUGUUGGGUCCUUUCCGGGACUCAGUGCCGCAGCUAACGCAUUAGGCACUCCGCCUGGGGAGUACGACCGCAAGGUUG